CUGCCCAGUGCUCAGUCUAUCUAAAUCACUCUGCAAGGCCUUUUUUUUUCCCUGAAGAGAGUCAACACGACAUUCCAGAUUGCGGUUGUCAGCAUAAUUGCUAAUGUAGCAUUCAGCUCCUGAAUCUUGAUCAUUGAUAAAAAUGUUGAGCAGAACUUACCCUAGAACAGUGCUCUGAGGAUAUCACUGGUGACGAGUCAACAGUCCCUUUCCCUUUGGUCCUGUCCUUCAGUCAGUUCUUCACCCAGCAUCCUGAACCUGCUCAUGCAAAAGCUGGAUAACUUGUCCAGAAAGAUUAUAUAGGGGACAGUGUCAAAAGCCUUACUAAAAGGCCACCCUUACUGCAUCCACCACCUUCCCUUCAUCCAGGAGGCAGGUAUGUAGAAGGAUAUUAAUUAGUUAAACUUUUUGCCUGUGUGUACCCUAGUUUAAACUUUUUCCCUGUGUGAGCCUAUGUUGAGUGUGCCUGAUGAUUGCAUUGUCAUUUAGAUGCCUUUCAACAGGAUUCAGUAUCAUCUUCUCUGUUAUUUUUCCAGGUGCUGAGGUAAAACUCACAGGUCUGUAGUUUCCUAAAUCUUGCUUCUCGCUCUUCAUGUGAGUUGAAUAACAUUGGCUGGCUUCCAGGUAUCAAGGACCUCCCCAGAUUCAGUCUUCUCACAAAGAAACCAAAAAGGGACCAGCACAAGGUAACAUGUUUAUUCUGAUGUCCAUGGAAGAUAGACACAGGAGACUUCAGCAUCUCAAACUUUGUGUUUCAUGAGUUUGGCAUACUGCGUGUGGCAACUGGACUUCACAGCACUGUGUCCAUGACUGUAAUAGGCCUUUCAUUUGGAUAAUGCAGAGAGAAAAUCCUGACUACCUUUAAGGAGAAACUUGAUCCUCAUGAAAAGAGGUAUAUUAGAGCUUUAUGGAGUCUCUGAAAUGCCAGAGGAAAAAAGUAAUUAAGUAGAGAGUAAUGGUCUUGAAUGCAGUUUAUAGUUCUUUGUUGAUACAUUCCAAAGAAUGCUUUCUGCAGAGCAAAAUCCCACAGGAGGAUUAAUGUGCUCCAAAGGAUAAUACCUAUACCAUUUUAUUAUUUUAGAAGAAAAUAAAAAGAGGAGAAACUGGGAGUUUUGUUCAUAUAACAAGGAAGAAAGAAGUAUUAGCUCUGUCUUUGACAUCUCUUCACUGUGUCUUUCACAGUGAUAUUUUCUUGGAAUCCAAAAGAUUUAUUUGGAGUCUAAUGUGUGAAGGGAAAAUCUAUGUGCAUUUCAGUCACCUCAGUCUCAAACUGCGAUCCCCAAAUCUCAUGUCCAAUGGACAACUUAUUAUGGGCAUGUCUUUCCUUUGUGGUCACCUCAGCUUCUCAGGGUGAAGUUUCUUUAUGACCUCAGAUUUUGUGGGUGUCCACAGGUGCUUCAGGUUCUGAUUUCACCAUGGAGUCUACAAAAAAUAUAAAGCAACACAUACCGAUGUUCUGACGUCAGUGCAACUAAAACCAUUCACAUCAUUUUCUGUUACUCAGAACUAGAAUAUGCACUAGGAUAUGUAUUUGAGUUUUCCAUUUUUCUGUUUCCCAGUCUGGUUCUUCAGCCAUCCUUCUUUCUUGGUGCAAAAUAGAGAGGCUAAAAAAAUUAUUCAAAAAUGUUCAAAAAGUAUCACAGCCCUGCAGAUUAUUGUAUAUACUACAGAGAGGACUCACACAGUUGCUGGAGCACAAAUGGGAAAUCAUCCUUCCUUCUUCAUUACUAGUUUUGGAUGGUAUUGUUUUAUUUCCUUGGACUGACUGCAGUGCAUUCAGUUUCCUUUUUUUUUUUGGAGAAUGAAACAAUUUCGGCAGGAAAUGACAUCUGUUCUUGUGCUAAGAGGCAGAGAGAAGAAAUGGGCUCCCAUGAGGCUACUGAACUAGGAUAUCUGUUUCCUAUUCACGCACAUGAAAGCAAGGAAAGUAGCAAUGAAGAUCCAUGAAAAUACAGGGUGUAUCUUUGCAAUUUUACAGGUAGAAUGAUAUCUGCAUCUAAAUAUAGUAAUAGAUUGUCCUAGCUUUUUUUGCUAUACUGUGACUCUCAAAUGCAGAUGAAUUUUAAACAUUUUAAAACUGCACUUUAUGCAAGAAGGAAUCCAUACACAGAACUCUUCUAUGGAAACAUAUGUAGAAUAUGUGGUUUUUCUGUCCUUUUAGACAUUUAGAAAAUAUGCUGAGAUUCAAAGUCUUCAUAUUUUUCUUUUCAUGACUAACAUUUUUUAAAAAAAGACUGUGCCUUCUCUGCAUGAAGAAACUCAAUUUUUAAACUAUAAGCAAAUAUAAGGAGUUUUCUGCUGGUAACUUUUUUACAGUUCUAUUUCCAGAAUACAGAAGACAACUCUGCCACUCUGCUUUCUAACUUAAGAACUAACUAUCAUCUAACUAGCUGUAGAGAUAGUUGGUAAUAUCCAAGACAAAGAAUAGUAUACUUGUAGUGAGUCCUUCAGAAAUCUCUGUCAAUUUCCAAUAGCAUUAAAACUCUGAUUUACACAACUGUACCAUGAUUUUUCUAAGUCUGUUCAGGUAUGGUUGAUUUUCAAAAGAAAAAAAAAACAGGAAAAAAGGUUAACUGAAUAUGAUGAGAAAUAGAAAGUGUUGGGAGAAAUACUCAGUUAUGUCUUAAGACAUAUAUCAUGUAUGACAUUUAUACAAGAAAAUAAGGGUUAUCAAACCAAAAAGUAGUCAAGCACUUUUUUUCCAAGUACUGAAAAGGUCUUGUGUAUCCUACUUAAUAAUAUUUUUGAUUAUUAAUUCUUUUAUUUCUUUACAGAAAUUAAGCAAGAAUGGAUUCCUUACUGUCUCAUCUUAGUCAAUAUUUUUUUACUGCUAUAUCUAUUGAUUCUAUGUGAUAUGUGUAAAAAAAUAUAAUGAGUUAGUUGCUUACCAAAGAUCUGUCAUUGUAAUAGGAAAAUCUGUGGUACUACAGGUCACUACAAAUUAGAGACAAUUUUUUUUUUUCCGGCUAAUUUAUACUAAGAUUACCCUAUGUCAGUGUGGGCCAAUCUCUUCUAUGUUCAAGUUUGUAUUGUGAGUUUUCCUCUGUCUCAAGUCCUUCUGUUACAAAAAACACGAAAUAGAAUUUUGCUAAAGAGAAAAUAUCUAUAUUGAUAGACUGAGUAAUUAGUAGAUGUUCUGGGUGAGAAUAUAAUGUCUCUUUAUAUAACAUCCACAAAAAUAUUGCUUCAUAAGCAAUCAUAUGACAGAUCAGACAAUAUUUCAGAGUGAGGAUUUUUAUCCACAAAUUAACUCAUGUAUUUGCCAAUUAACAAACUUAUCUUGUUUACAACAAUCAAGUUGCAAGUUCAUUUCGUAGGAGAAUGUAUUAAUGCUUUUUUUUUCUUAUCUAGUCUAAAUUUUCUAAUAGGUAAUAUGGCUAGCUACAGCCUCUCUGCUAAAUUUUUUUAAAUGGCCAACUUUAUUUACAUAUAUACAUUCACAACAUUGAUUUUUUUGCUAAUGUUCUUGAUGAGCUAGAACUGUACUAUUUCAGUCUUGUGUUAUUUUGCAAUUUUAAGAUACACAUCAAUUUAAUCAUUGCAUAACUAUUUAUUUUGCCUUUAUUUAAAUUGUGCAAUAACAUUUCAGCCUUUAAUUAAUUAAUUAAUUAAUUAUUUAAUUAAUUAUUAUUUUAUUUAAUUUUCUAAUUAUUUAUUGCUUCAUUGCACAAUUCUCCUCUCAUUUGCUGAUGGGAAAGGUAUGCAGUUAUCCUUUUCCAUGCCACUUCAUGCAUUAUGGCAAUGUCAACAUAACUGGAGAAGCCCAGGGUUGAAAAUACUCUACUUAUUCUCUUGGUUCCCUACAUGUGAAUGAGAAUAGAAUACAGGAUUUGUGGGUCAUAGCAGACAGAGUACUGUGAGACCCUUCUGGCAUCAUUCCUUUGCUCUUUUUUAAGUGCAGUAUGUUUCGUAUAACAAGACACUGAGUUCCAAGGUAUCCUAAAAAUGGGGGAAAAAAGGAAAAGUGUGCAUCUUUUGAGACUUUUUUUUUGCAUACAAAAAGUUCAACAAAAGAGUACUAUAAUUUGCAGUAAAUUGCAUAAAAUUGACUUGUUAACUAUCAUUGUGUUUAUUUACUUAGGUUGUAUAGAAACGCAUUGUGGAAAAUUGCAAAUAAAGUUGCUGCAGUUGAAAUAGACUCAGCAUGCAAGCAGAAAUUCUCUUUGAAAUCAUUUUAUGGCAUAUGAGUUCUCUUCAUUUAAGAAAUACUUAGCAUAUAGGCAAUUACUCUUUUGUAACCUCAAACAAAAAUAUUUUAAGGUUGUAGGUAGGGUAUUUAGAAAGCUGUGUGAAAUUUCAAAGGGAGUACUUUGUCAUAUAAUUUUGAACAAUUUUUUUUAUAUUAAUUCCUUUCCUCUGUAUUAAAAUAACAAUGUUCCAUUUGACUUUCUUUUCUACAUAUUUAAUCUUGCAAUUAAAACAAACAAUCUUCUGUAUAAAUCUACUGCAAUAUUUUUGUACAUAUGCUUAGAUUUUUUACAUUUCAAUGUUUGCACUGGCAUUAUUUAAUUUUAAAAAUGAACAUGGUUUCCAAGUUGCUGCUCCCAAAAUCAGUCUCUUAUCAUCUGAUUCAAGCCACCUCCACAGUUUUCUGAGCUGCAUAUCAAAGCCCUAGACAUUUUCAUUCAAUUAGAAUUGUCAAUCUAUCUCCUUAGCUUAAAGAAAGUAAUAGAUUUUUUCAGAGUUAAUAAGUAAUGAUGCCAUGAGUUCAGUGAGAAUUAUAUAAUAUCAGAAACUUUCCAAACAUAAAUGACUUUUGAGAUAUUUACAGUUUAUCUGUCCAAAACUCUAAUUAAAGUUACAAUAUUUUUUCAUCUCUAUUUACGCAGCGAACAACUAGGCCUAAUUUCAGCAAACCUGUCAGAAUAAGUUUUCAAGCAGAGGGUGUUUGAAUUACAUUAUUUCACUGGGCUCUUGACA